UGAGGAAUAUUGGUCAAUGGGCGCAAGCCUGAACCAGCCAUCCCGCGUGAAGGAAGAAUGCGCUACGCGUUGUAAACUUCUUUUCCAGGGGGAGAAUUUUCCUGUCGAGACAGGGUUUGACGGUACCCUGGGGAUAAGCAUCGGCUCACUCCGUGCCAGCAGCCGCGGUAAUACGGAGGAUGCGAGCGUUAUCCGGAUUGAUUGGGUUUAAAGGGUGCGUAGGCGGAUUGAUAAGUCAGUGGUGAAAUUCUGCAGCUUAACUGUAGACUGGCCGUUGAUACUGGUAGUCUUGAGUGUGGUCAAGGCAGGCGGAAUGGGUAAUGUAGCGGUGAAAUGAUUAGAUAUUACACAGAACACCGAUUGCGAAGGCAGCUUGCUGGGUCAUUACUGACGCUGAUGCACGAAAGCGUGGGGAUCAAA
rnacentral:rRNA from 1 species